rnacentral:sRNA from 1 species
GUGCCUUGUGAGAGCUGAGGGACAGGUAGGGUCACCGUGUCUCUGUGAGGCCCUGUGGCCUCAGGAGUGUUAGUGCCACCUGCCACAUGGCACCUGCCACAUGGGUGGGACGGGACAGCACUGCCACACCCUCCUCUGCACCUCCUCCCCUUUGGGGCUCCUUCCUAGCUGGAAACCAGUACUGGGUGUCCCCCAGAACCACUCACGGCUUUUGUUACUUCCUACUGUUCUGCGUGAGCUGGGACAUGAGGAGAGUGGGACAGGUCCUGAGCGUGGCCACCUGGGGAGGUAGGCAGGCGGUGCAUAUGGUCAGCACAGAUUGGCCAAUCGCACCCCACAGGCACCCUGUGGAACCUGUCAUCCUAUGAGCCCCUGAAGAUGGUCAUCAUUGACCAUGGCCUGCAGACGCUGACCCACGAGGUGAUCGUGCCCCACUCAGGAUGGGAGCGUGAGCCCAACGAGGACUCCAAGCCACGGGACGCCGAGUGGACAACUGUCUUCAAGAACACGUCGGGCUGCCUGAGGAAUGUGAGCUCCGAUGGUGCUGAGGCCCGGCGGCGACUCCGGGAGUGUGAAGGGCUGGUGGAUGCGCUCCUGCAUGCCCUGCAGUCGGCUGUGGGCCGGAAGGACACUGACAACAAGUCGGUGGAGAACUGCGUGUGCAUCAUGCGGAACCUGUCCUACCACGUGCACAAGGAGGUGCCCGGGGCCGACAGGUACCAGGAGGCCGAGCCCGGGCCCCUGGGCAGUGCUGUAGGCUCCCAGCGCCGGAGGCGGGAUGAUGCCAGCUGCUUUGGUGGCAAGAAGGCCAAAGGAAAGAAGGAUGGUGAGAUGGACCGGAACUUUGACACGCUAGACCUGCCCAAGCGAACUGAGGCCGCCAAAGGCUUUGAGCUGCUGUACCAGCCCGAGGUGGUACGUCUCUACCUCUCCCUCCUCACGGAGAGCCGGAACUUCAACACCCUGGAGGCUGCCGCCGGCGCUCUGCAGAACCUCAGUGCCGGCAACUGGAUGUGGGCCACGUACAUCCGCGCCACAGUGCGCAAAGAGCGCGGGCUGCCGGUGCUUGUGGAACUGCUGCAGUCUGAGACCGACAAGGUGGUGCGCGCCGUCGCCAUCGCUCUGCGCAACCUCUCGCUGGACCGGCGCAACAAAGACCUCAUCGGGAGCUACGCCAUGGCCGAGCUUGUGCGGAAUGUGCGCAAUGCACAGGCUCCGCCGCGACCGGGGGCCUGCCUGGAGGAAGACACCGUGGUGGCGGUGCUCAACACCAUCCACGAAAUCGUGUCCGACAGCCUGGAUAACGCGCGCUCGCUCCUGCAGGCACGCGGGGUGCCAGCGUUGGUGGCUCUCGUCGCCUCCAGCCAAUCGGUACGCGAAGCGAAGGCGGCGUCACACGUGCUGCAGACUGUGUGGAGCUACAAGGAGCUGCGUGGUACCUUGCAGAAAGAUGGUUGGACCAAGGCGCGCUUCCAGUCAGCUGCUGCUACUGCCAAGGGGCCUAAGGGAGCACUGAGUCCUGGGGGCUUCGAUGACAGCACGCUGCCACUGGUGGACAAGAGCCUUGAGGGCGAGAAGACUGGCAGCCGGGAUAUGAUCCCCAUGGAUGCGCUGGGCCCAGACGGAUACUCCACGGUGGACCGGAGGGAGCGGAGGCCACGGGGCGCCAGCUCUGCAGGAGAGGCCUCUGAGAAGGAACCCUUGAAAGGCCCAGGCCCAGCCUCUUGUUCUUAGGGCUUGGAUCGUGGAAGAAGGGCCACCCUGAGCAGAUCGUGCCGUGGAGCUUGGAGCCCCCUGGCGGCAGGGGUUGGCAGUGCCUCGCCCCAGCCAAGCCUGACUUUGGGGACACCCUCCUGCCCCCCACCCCACUCCCCCCAUCCUACCUAACUCCCUAGGCCUGAGAUAGCUGUUUACUGACAUGGUGCUGUGUGUGAGCGAGUGACAGAAGGCCCGAGGAGGCCGACUGGGCUGCUGGGGCAGGGCCCAGGGAGGUGGCAGGGAAGGGUGCCUGACUGGGCUUUGGGGCUGGUGGGAUAGGAGGGUGCCCCUGGGAACACAGUGCCCCAGUGGUGCGGGCCAGGUCUGGCGCCAGGGGCAGGCAGCUAGGCAGGGAGGGGGCUGGGAAAGAACUUGGACUUCUAAAGGCGGAGGGUCUCCCUGGGCACCCUGCAGGCAGGCUGACCACAGUGUGGGGGGUGCCCCACAAGGCCCAGCCCUGGGCAAGGAAGCUUUGGAAGCAGCAAGGUGGGGGUCAGGCUACAGGUGCCCCACCUCCCCAGAGCCCUGCAGUCACGUGAGGCCCCUGUGCAGUAGAGAGCCUUUCUCCAGCCCAUGCUGGCUGGGGCCAGGGCUGCCGCAUCUGCCUGGAGCCUGGGCAGCACCUCCGGGACUGACCUUCGGCAGUGGCUUGGGGACUGCUUUCAGUGCCUGCUGUUCGUGACUCAGAAACAGAAGAAAAACACUGAGAAAAAGCAUUAAAAAUAAGCCAAAAUAAGACUAUUGGUAAACACCUAAAUUUUUGUAAGAAAAUUUAAAAAUUAAAGCAGCAAAGG